AAUGUAACACUUAAAUAAAACAAACAUUUGUUUGAAUUUGCUAUAAUACAUCAAUCAUAUUUAUGUUAUAAAUUAGUAUGAUUUUAGAAAAUAUUAUGUCAUAUAACAUCAAUAUCAUCAAAAAGGAUGUUCAUAUCUAAAGUAAUGACGAUACACAAUAUUUUGAAGUGUUCAUAGUCAUACUUGAACUGUUUCAUGGGUUAAUUAUGCAUGUUGUCAGUACAAGAUAUUUUGAUGAUUACCUGUAUUCAUAUUUUUACACAUUGCAUGCUUAAACAUAUAUCCUAAAUUCUAAUUUGUAUGUUUAGUUUAUUUAUCAAUCAAUAUUCUCAAUAUUUCAAUGCAGACUAACAGUACUAGCUGUUCAUGUGAAAAUACAAGGUUGCUUUUUUGUAGGAAUGAAUGGUUUAAUAAUAUUUGGUUAUUAUUAGAAAUGUGAUCAAAAUAAAAAAAA
rnacentral:lncRNA from 1 species